GUCAAAGUGAAGAAAUUCAACCAAGCG
rnacentral:snRNA from 1 species